rnacentral:rRNA from 1 species
GUCUUUUGGAAUAUAAUUUGAAGUCUAACCUGCCCACUGAAUUUUUUUGAAGGGCCGCGGUAUUUUGACUGUGCAAAGGUAGCAUAAUCAUUAGUCUUUUAAUUGGAGGCUUGUAUGAAUGGUUGGAUGAAACAUUAACUGUCUCAAUUUAAUAAAAAUAGAAUUUAAUUUUUAAGUUAAAAAGCUUAAAUUUAAUUAGAGGACGAGAAGACCCUAUAGAUCUUUAUAAUAAAUUAUUUAUUAUUUAUUUAGGAUAAUAAUUUUUAUUAGUUAAUUUAUUAUUUUAUUGGGGUGAUAGAUAAAUUUAGUAAACUUUAUUUUAUAAAAACAUUUAUUUAUGAAUUUUUGAUCCAUUUUUAGUGAUUAAAAGAUUAAGUUACCUUAGGGAUAACAGCGUAAUUUUUUUAGAGAGUUCUAAUCGAUAAAAAAGUUUGCGACCUCGAUGUUGAAUUAAAGGUUAAUUUUAGGUGUAGAAGUUUAAAGUUUUGGUCUGUUCGACCAUUAAAUC